rnacentral:rRNA from 1 species
GAUGAACGCUGGCGGCGUGCCUAAUACAUGCAAGUCGAGCGAACGGACGAGAAGCUUGCUUCUCUGAUGUUAGCGGCGGAAGGGUGAGUAACACGUGGAUAACCUACCUUCAAGACUGGGACAACUUCGGGAAACCGUAGCUAGUACCGGAUAAUAUUUUCAACCGCAUGGUUCAAAAGCGAAAGAGGGUUUUGCUGUCACUUAUAGAUGGAUCCGCGCUGCAUUAGCUAGUUGGUAAGGUAACGGCUUACCAAGGCAACGAUGCAUAGCCGACCUGAGAGGGUGAUCGGCCACACUGGGAGUGAGAGACGGUCCAGACUCCUACGGGAGGCAGAGAUAGGGAAUCUUCGGAGAUGGGGGAAAGCCUGACGGAGCAACGCCGCGUGGGUGAUGAAGGUCUUCGGGUCGUAAGACUCUGUUAUUAGGGAAGAACAUAUGUGUAAGUAACUGUGCACGUCUUGACGGUACCUAAACAGAAAGCAACGGCUAACUACGUG